GUACGUCUACGAGAGGUUAGUUAGUACUCGUCGUCUAGGAGUGAACGCUGGCGGCGUGCUUAACACAUGCAAGUCGAACGGAGUUUUAACGGAAGUUUCGGAUGGAAGUUUAAGAACUUAGUGGCGGACGGGUGAGUAACGCGUGGGUAACCUGCCUCAUACAGGGGGAUAACAGUUAGAAAUGACUGCUAACACCGCAUAAUAUAGCGAAACCGCAUGAUUUUGCUAUCAAAUAUUUAUAGGUAUGAGAUGGGCCCGCGUCUGAUUAGCUAGUUGGUGGGGUAAAGCCUACCAAGGCGACGAUCAGUAGCCGGCUUGAGAGAGUGACCGGCCACAUUGGGACUGAGACACGGCCCAAACUCCUACGGGAGGCAGCAGUGGGGAAUAUUGGACAAUGGGGGAAACCCUGAUCCAGCGAACCGCCGCGUGAGUGAAGAAGUAUUUCGGUAUGUAAAGCUCUAUCAGCAGGGAAGAUAAUGACAGUACCUGACUAAGAAGCCCCGGCUAACUACGUGCCAGCCGCAGC
rnacentral:rRNA from 1 species